UACAGAGGUCUCAACCGUUGUUCGGAUUCAUUGGGCGUAAAGGGUGCGUAGGCGGUCGCGCAAGUCGGAUGUGAAAUCUCAGGGCUCAACCCUGAAACUGCAUUCGAUACUGCGUGGCUAGAGUGCUGGAGAGGAGACUGGAAUUUACGGUGUAGCAGUGAAAUGCGUAGAUAUCGUAAGGAAGACCAGUGGCGAAGGCGAGUCUCUGGACAGCAACUGACGCUGAGGCACGAAGGCCAGGGGAGCAAACAGG
rnacentral:rRNA from 1 species